rnacentral:rRNA from 1 species
AACACCUACGGGGCGCAGCAGUGGGGAAUAUUGGGCAAUGGGCGCAAGCCUGACCCAGCAACGCCGCGUGAAGGAAGAAGGCUUUCGGGUUGUAAACUUCUUUUGUCAGGGACGAAGCAAGUGACGGUACCUGACGAAUAAGCCACGGCUAACUACGUGCCAGCAGCCGCGGUAAUACGUAGGUGGCAAGCGUUGUCCGGAUUUACUGGGUGUAAAGGGCGUGCAGCCGGGACUGCAAGUCAGAUGUGAAAUCCGCGGGCUUAACCUGCGAACUGCAUUUGAAACUGCGGAUCUUGAGUAC